AAAUCAGUGAGGGCUGCCAACUGGCCCCUCAGCUCACGGACCUCGCCGGAUCCGGAGGUAGCGGAGGUCUCAGCCUCGUCAAAUUGUGCCGCAUUGUCCGCCCCCGCUGAUUGAGAGCGCGUAAUCGGCAUUGUCACUACAAAACAUAAAAGCGCAAGUUAGUAACCCGCGCUAUCGAAUCCACGCUCAAAUAACAAUACCAAAAUCAUGCGAAAGUAAGGAAGUGUUAUCCACAACUAACUCCCGAUGUUACGUUGUCGGCCGCCAACGUAACCCUCCGCGAAGUUAGAAGUCAUACACUCCGAUUAAACUCUAACUUUUUAGAGUUGUCAUAAAACCCAAUCAUAAUACUUUCGCUCACAAGUCAAAUAGACCUCGUCUCUCACGAGCCUAUUUCCUAUAGUCCAACCGGCCUAAGGUUUGCUAGGUCCUCUAAGACUCAACCCUAGGCUCUGAUACCAAUUUAAUCUGUCACGCCCCGGGACCGGCAGAGGCCCUCUCGGUAGCGCGCCCAGACCCGCCAUAUGUCUACACAUAUAAGGCGUUUACAACAACAGUGGAAAUAAAGCAAGAGAUGAUUCGCAACUAAAAAUAUCAGAGCAAGUACACAACUAUAAACUAUGAUAAGAGUAGAUGGAACAACUAAGUAAUAAAGAGAAUACAUAAAGUUAUACAAUAACCAUCACCAAAAAGUACACAAAAUAGGUGGUCUCUAUUACACUGGUACAGCUCUCAACCUCUCCAAAAAGAAAA
rnacentral:lncRNA from 1 species